AUAAGCCUUAGUAAGAUUGGUUCCAAUCGAAGGAACCUCGGCCAAUAUAGUUCGGAUCAAAGGAACUUGGGUUCUGAACAAAAGAACAUUCGCGAUAAUUAGGCCGGUCAGAAGCUGUUGAGCCAGAGCCGAUCAUAGGUUGUUAUCCAAGGGUGAUGAUGAGUGGCAUCUUUGCUCUACUCUUCAUACGAGUGGUAUCUUUGCUCUACUCAUUUUUAGUUAUAGGUCGGUCAAAGGUCGGUUAUUGUAGGCUGAGGAUUCUUUUAGUUAGCCUUCCAAAGGUCCUUUUAGGUUAGCCUAUUGAGAUUUGAUGCCUCAAGAUUCUAUCCAUAUUAAGCCUAC
rnacentral:lncRNA from 1 species